rnacentral:rRNA from 1 species
UACGUAGGGGGCAAGCGUUGUCCGGAAUCACUGGGCGUAAAGCGCGCGCAGGCGGCUAUCUACGUCCGGGGUGAAAGCCCAGAGCUCAACUCCGGGAUUGCCUUGGAUACGGGAUGGCUUGAGGAUCGGAGAGGCAAGGGGAAUUCCACGUGUAGCGGUGAAAUGCGUAGAGAUGUGGAGGAACACCUGUGGCGAAGGCGCCUUGCUGGCCGAUUUCUGACGCUGAGGCGCGAAAGCGUGGGGAGCAAACAGG